GACGAACGCUGGCGGCGUGCCUAACACAUGCAAGUCGAACGAAACUUCUUUAAAGGAUUUCUUCGGAAUGAAUUUGAUUAAGUUUAGUGGCGGACGGGUGAGUAACGCGUGAGUAACCUGCCUCUAAGAGGGGAAUAACAUUCUGAAAAGAAUGCUAAUACCGCAUAACAUAUAUUUAUCGCAUGGUAGAUAUAUCAAAGAUUUAUCGCUUAGAGAUGGACUCGCGUCCGAUUAGUUAGUUGGUGAGGUAACGGCUCACCAAGACCGCGAUCGGUAGCCGGACUGAGAGGUUGAACGGCCACAUUGGGACUGAGACACGGCCCAGACUCCUACGGGAGGCAGCAGUGGGGGAUAUUGCGCAAUGGGGGAAACCCUGACGCAGCAACGCCGCGUGAAGGAUGAAGGUCUUCGGAUUGUAAACUUCUUUUAUUAAGGACGAA
rnacentral:rRNA from 1 species